rnacentral:rRNA from 1 species
GACGAACGCUGGCGGCGUGCCUAAUACAUGCAAGUCGAGCGAGCUGAAUUCACAGAUUCCUUCGGGUAUGACGUGUUGGACGCUAGCGGCGGAUGGGUGAGCAACACGUGGGCGAAUCUGCCCUAAAAGACUGGGAUACCACUUGGAAACAGGUGCUAAUACCGGAUAACAAUGAUGGUUGCAUGACCAUUAUUUAAAAGGCGGCGCAAGCUGUCACUUUAGGAUGAGCCCGCGGUGCAUUAGCUAGUUGGUGAGGUAACGGCUUACCAAGGCGAUGAUGCAUAGCCGAGUUGAGAGACAGAUCGGCCACAUUGGGACUGAGACACGGCCC